rnacentral:rRNA from 1 species
GACGUAGGGCGCGAGCGUUGUCCGGAAUUAUUGGGCGUAAAGGGCUCGUAGGCGGUUUGUCGCGUCGGGAGUGAAAACACCGGGCUUAACUCGGUGCUUGCUUUCGAUACGGGCAGACUAGAGGCAUGCAGGGGAGAACGGAAUUCCUGGUGUAGCGGUGAAAUGCGCAGAUAUCAGGAGGAACACCGGUGGCGAAGGCGGUUCUCUGGGCCAUUACUGACGCUGAGGAGCGAAAGCGUGGGGAGCGAACAGG